GACGAACGCUGGCGGCGUGCCUAAUACAUGCAAGUCGAGCGCUUCUUUCCUCCCGAGUGCUUGCACUCAAUUGGAAAGAGGAGUGGCGGACGGGUGAGUAACACGUGGGUAACCUACCCAUCAGAGGGGGAUAACACUUGGAAACAGGUGCUAAUACCGCAUAACAGUUUAUGCCGCAUGGCAUAAGAGUGAAAGGCGCUUUCGGGUGUCGCUGAUGGAUGGACCCGCGGUGCAUUAGCUAGUUGGUGAGGUAACGGCUCACCAAGGCCACGAUGCAUAGCCGACCUGUGAGGGUGAUCGGCCACACUGGGACUGAGACACGGCCCAGACUCCUACGGGAGGCAGCAGUAGGGAAUCUUCGGCAAUGGACGAAAGUCUGACCGAGCAACGCCGCGUGAGUGAAGAAGGUUUUCGGAUCGUAAAACUCUGUUGUUAGAGAAGAACAAGGACGUUAGUAACUGAACGUCCCCUGACGGUAUCUAACCAGAAAGCCACGGCUAACUACGUG
rnacentral:rRNA from 1 species